ACCAUGUCCUCAUAUAUAGACCAUGACAAGGAAAUGCCAAACAAAUAUUAUACCUUUGAUUUUCCAUUAUAGCAUUAUUGUAUCAAGGUUCAAGACACGCACUUUAACACAGGAAACAUUCAUAGUAGACGAUGACAAUAGACAACGAUUAGACUUAGAACUCAACUGAACACAUUAUCAUGGAGGGACAAAAUGGUCGAUUUAAUAUGCAAACAUUUUUAACUCAACAAAUAGGAUUACUGAAGUAGCAAACAUAAAUAUUGUACAUGCUUCCGGGGUACAUUCUAUUCAGAGGCACGGUGUGUCUAAAUAGUCUUUUAUGAGAUAAUGGAAUUUUGGGUAAUUUAAGUGUGUAAGUACAAUAGCCUUAUUUUUCAAUCACAAAGCACGGUAAUAUUCUAACCUUACAUCAUAUGAUUGCAUACAAUGAUCCUCUCUUUUAGUGUACUAAAUGUUAGAUUUGGGCUGCAGUAUUGCUACUUUUGCAAUACGCUUUUGCUACUACUUUUUUAAAUUAUAUUCUGGGGUCUUGAUAUUAAAUUUAUUACCCAAUUUAAUGGAACUCAGAAAUUAAAAAAAAAAAGAAUUAAAUGUUUUUACUGGCGCCUAAACAUUACUUUUUUCAUGUCAUGGUCACUCUGCAGACUAUUAUUAUUAUUAUUAUUGCCAUUUAGACUAGUGUAUAAUUAGUUUGUUAGUUCAUAAUUAUAGAUUUUAAAAUCCUUAUAGUCUUGUUUAUUUAAGGAUGUAUUGCCAGAAAUACAAAACGAAUAAUCAUUCAUUAUACUUAAAAAUUGAUUUUCUGCAUACAAUUAUAUUUAUGUGGGAUUUGUAAUGUUAUUAGUAUCUGUAGUGUUCCAAGUUUGUAUGCAGAAAAUACAUUUUUACAUUGUCACAUGAUCUAAAUCUGUAUUGCAGUAUGUUUUUAUUACUAGGAACCCAGCCUUGUGUAUUUGUUGUAAGCACUGUUUUAAUCACUUAUGGAUCAAUGAUUCCAUAACAUGUUUUUAAGACUCCUAUUCUGAAGUGGAAAGUCAGACUCCCUUAACAAAAGCAGAAAUGAAAACGUGUGGAUGACAAACAAGAAGAAAUUGAUUUUGAUUAUGGCUAACAUUGAAAUUUAAAUGGACACACCAAGCACCAGAACAACUUUAGCUUAAUGAAGUGAUUUCUGUGUAUAUAUUAUGACCCUACAGCCUCACUGUUUAAUUAUCUGCCAUUUAGCACUUUGUUUAAGCAGCCCUAGCCACACCCUGGCUGAAAAUCAUAUUAAUUGUCUAUCCAAUUCCUUUGACCCCUUAAGGAUCAAACUUCUGGAAUAAAAAGGAAUCAUGACAUGACACACAUGUCAUGUGUCCUUAAGGGGUUAAAGAGAAAUCUAAUUUUUAGGCUUCUUUUAUAGCACAAUGUUUUUAGUUUAGAAUGUCGUAUCUCUUUGUGUAUUGCCGGGUUGAGUCUGCAACAGUCUCCUAUGUGUAAUUAAAGUUCUAUUAACAGUUUAGGAUAUGAAAACUUCUAAAUGAACCACGCAGUGCUGCAAUAUCUAAAUAAAUUAUUUUUCCAUGGAGGCUGUGAGUUACCGUCAUGGGGUAUGUGGCUACAGCUUAAAAACCAGAAACAAAUGGGAUUUAAUUCUUAACUAGCAGAGAAUUGAGCAGUGAGACUGCAGGUGCAUGAUCUAUACACCAAAAACACUUAUGCUAAAAAUGUUAUGAAGCUUAGGUUACUCUCUAAUAGUGAUGUCCCGAACUGUUCGCCACGGACUCAUCAUUGAGUAAACUUUGACCCUGUACCUCACAGUCAGCAGACAC